rnacentral:rRNA from 1 species
UACGGGGGGUGCAAGCGUUGUUCGGAAUUACUGGGCGUAAAGGGGGCGCAGGCGGUCGGGUCAGUGGAAAGUGGAAGCCCGGGGCUCAACCCCGGAAGUGCUUUCCAUACUGCCCGGCUUGAGUUCGGGAUAGGAAGGCGGAAUUCCAGGUGUAGCGGUGAAAUGCGUAGAUAUCUGGAGGAACACCAAUGGCGAAAGCAGCCUUCUGGCCCGUUACUGACGCUGAGGCCCGAAAGCGUGGGGAGCAAACAGG